UACGUAGGGUGCUAGCGUUGUUCGGAAUCAUUGGGCGUAAAGCGCACGUAGGCGGGCCAGUAAGUCGGAUGUGAAAUCCCUGGGCUUAACCCGGGAAUUGCAUUCGAUACUGCCGGUCUUGAAUGCUUGAGAGGGUGGUGGAAUUCCAGGUGUAGAAGUGAAAUUCGUAGAUAUCUGGAGGAACAUCCGAGGCGAAGGCGGCCACCUGGCAAGACAUUGACGCUGAGGUGCGAAAGCGUGGGGAGCAAACAGG
rnacentral:rRNA from 1 species